GAAUGGGGAAUUAGGGUUCACCUGGUUGUGACCCUUCACAUUCCAACGAGAGCUUCUUCUUCUUCCUCCUUUGCGGCUCAGAAACGCGACGGCGUAAAUAACUUCCUCCGGCGGAAUACUCCGUCCGAUUCCACCGCCGUGAGCUAAACCAAUCUCACCUCUCGAGUUCCAAAUCCUCUCUCUAUUUCAGUCAUUCUCUCGUUAUCUCUCUUCUUGUCUCUUAUCUCUCCGAUCCAACAAAAUAACCGCGAAUCAUUUACAACAGCUGAACAACGAAUGCGAGAUUGAAAGGAUUAGGAAGCUUGCUCGGAACGAAGCCCGAAGAUGGAGUCACGGAGUAACAGAAAAGGAGAUUCCACUUGAGACAUUGGCGAAAUGAACGUAAUCGAAUACCAGAGGAAAUUCCCGAGUUUCGGCGAUGUUGUGAGAUAAAGGUGAAGAUCGAUGAUUCAGUGUGAAAGAUUGAGAGAAGGUCAAGAUUAUUGGAGGUUGGAGAUGGUGAAACGUGGAUGAAUUUGCUAUGCGUCAGUUACAGAUUCUAUCACAACUUCUUUUCUGAUGAUUGUUGGAUUGGUGCGUGAAGAGGAUAUGUGAUAAGGGUGGAGAUCGUAGAGAGAGUUGAAGAAGGUUGAAGAAGUGUGGUGAAGAAGAUGGAGAGAGGUUGAGAGCAAUGGUGAAGAAGUGGUGAGGAGUAUGAUGAUUGAAGGUUGAUGAGGUGAAGGGGAAUUGAAGAUUGUGAAUGAAGAUGGAUGAAGAGAAGUGAAGCAGGAAUGAAUGUGAGGUAU